GAGGCGAGAGGCGCUUCAGAGACUGGAGGGACCGACCUGCAGGAGCCAGGGCUGCCCGCCGAGCUGCAGUUGCCGCUGCUGCCGCUGUCGCUGUCGCGCUGCCGUCGCCGCCGUUGCUGUCUGCGCCCGAGUGAAGAGUGACAGCGCCUCUAAAGCGGGAGGGAGCACCGAACCCCGCGCCUCUACGAAACAGGUGCAUGCGCCCAUCUCCUGGUCGGCGGACCCAGCUCACAAGGUAGCCAUUCAUGAGCCUGAGGCUGUGAGAAAUGCUCGCUGUGCAAAGGGGAACUCUCACCAGAUUUUCUGAAGCUGUCCUAGAAAUACACUUUUCAGAUUGAUUCAGCUUUACCAGCUUAUCCAACAAAGGUAUUAACAUAUACAUUAACAACGUCGAAAGUAGCCUACUUUAAGAGAAAAUAUGCAGAAGAAGAAGAUUUACAUCAAGAUUACCAUGGGUAUUUUCCAAAACACCUGAUAUUGCCUGAGGACAGGACUUGCAUUCUCAAACUUUCUCUGGAGAAGCUCAGGUUUCUUGAAGACCCAGAAACCUACUUAAGAAGGUCUGUGUUAAUUAACAAUUUGCUGAGGAAGAUACAUCUAGAGACGGAGAAAGAGAGCUAUGAAUACUUUAAAGAAGCUCCCUGUUAUAAGACUGCUUAUUCUGAUACAAGAAAACGGCUGAAGUUCAUGGUACAGGAAUGCUGUUCUCAGUCUCUUUAUUAUGAAGAGCUGCAUUCAUAUCAUAUUGUGCCUUAUGCUUCGGAGAAUGCCAUUUAUGGAAUGGGCUACACUAGCAGCCACUUGGAGCAAAAUUCUCAGUUGCUUAUUUAUAAAAUGAAUUAAAGUAAAUGUUAAGUUCAUUGA